rnacentral:rRNA from 1 species
CUACGGGAUGCAGCAGGCGCGAAACCUUUACAAUGCACGAAAGUGUGAUAAGGGGAUCCAAAGUGCCUAUACAUUGUAUAGGCUUUUGCCAAAGUUAAAUCCUUUGGCGAAUAAGUGGUGGGAAAGACUGGUGCCAGCCGCCGCGGUAACACCAGCGCCACAAGUGGCAACCACGUUUAUUGGGCCUAAAGCGUUCGUAGCCGGUUUAAUAAAUCUUUUGUGAAAUUGUCUGGCUUAACCAAACAACGUGCAAAGGACACUGUUAAACUUGAGACCGGGAGGAGCUGAGAGUAUUCUUGGGGGAGCGGUAAAAUGUGAUAAUCCCUAGAAGACUACCUGUGGCGAAGGCGCUCAGCUAGAACGGAUCUGACGGUGAGGGACGAAAGCCAGGGGAGCGAUCCGGAUUAGAUACCCUAGUAGUC